GGCUGCCAGCGCCCACUGGCUGUGCUGUCAUACAGCCACUCGAGUCUGUGCAGGGCCUCCUGGGGGCUGGCAGGCUGUGGCCUGACCCCUUCAGGCCCCAGGGAGCCCUAGAAUGUUAGAGAACAAAUUCUUGGGGCUUCCCACCCUGCAGGCUGAGCUCCUGUCUUCAGAGCUGCCCGGAGGAGGGCCCUGCCUGAUUCCUGCGGGUCUCCCAGUGAGACCCCGCCCAGCCUGGCAUUGAGGAGGUGCCCCAGAUGAAUUUAUUGAUGGGUAAACAAGAGCAGGGCAGGAACUGUGCUCAGGCUCCCAACCACGACGUUGACUCGACAGCCGACCAGAGUCAGGAGUUGAAGGCACCAAUGCCAUUGUCCUUAAGGAGAAGAAAUGACCCUGGUGGAUACAACGAGAAGACAGCUGUCUGUGAACCAGGAAGAGGGCCUUCACCAAGAACCUGCCCAUGCUGCUACCCUGAUCUUGGACGUCCAGGCUCCAGAUCUGCGAGGAAUAAAUGUCUGCUGUUUAAGCCCCCCAGCCUGUGGUGUACUGGUAUCACGGGUGGCGCUGACUAUGACACAGGGACUGGGGGUCCAUUUGGUGGGAAUGUCAUUGCAUCAGUUGGGAAAUGGGAGGGAGGGUCGAGAGCCCCUUAGGCAGUGAGCCAUGGGUUAGAUUCUCUCCCUUCUGGCUGUGGCCUUUAGGCAAGUCCCUUCCCUCUCUGAGCCUCCGUGUCUGUGAAAUGAGGCGAUGAACACAUUUAUCUCACAGGGUCUCUGUGAGGAGAACCGGGAGAUGCACUCAGCACAGUUGAGGCUUCUCCCCUCUCCAGGGUGUACACCACAUGGGGUCACACCAGAUAAAUAUCCCUUCUUGCGUGCAGCACAAUUAGCGCCUGCCUGCCAUGUGCCAGCACAGCACUGAGAGUGUUACCUGUAUCCCUUCAUUUACUCUUCAAAGUGGUAACGACUAGCCUCAAUCCACAGAUGAGGGCUCUGAGCACAGGGAGGUUAAAUCUGCUUUCCUCAAGGCCACCCAGCAGGCCAGCAGGGGGCUGGGCUCGAACCCAGGUCCUUUUCAUCGAAAGCCCCAGAUCUUAUCCAGGAUUUGCCCCGCCUCUCCUGGGGAGAGGCUCCAAUCCCUCCCCGCUAUAAGAUCCCCCGAUUGCAGACACAGGGUCUCAAACCCACAGAAGGGUCUCAAAGCCCCAAGAAGCUGUGGGUCCCAUUGGAGACAAGACACCUACAUGGAAAAGGUAAGUGAACUGAGAAGGCAAAGCCUGUGACGAGGGCCAGGAAGACUCAGGGAGGGCCCCUCUGCCUGGAUUUCAGGCCAUAUCCAGUGUCUCCAGAAAAAAAGAACAAGAAGCCACCACCCUAAUCCUGAGGCCCCCAGGGAAGGAGCAAGUUCCUGGGUAAAACAGGUUCCCACAGGCUUUACCCUCCCCUGUCACUCCUCCAGGUGGCUCAGGCUCCAGUGUGGCGGGGGAGAGGAGGGAGAGGGGUCUCCUCUUAUCUUGGGGUGAGGGAGGGCCCCCCACACACACACAUACACAAGAGGAAAGGGCAGGGCAGCUCAGGCUCAGAGCUGAUGGGUUACAGGACUCACCUGGUCCCGCCCCCUCGUUCCGCAGCCCAGAGGGGGCAGUGUCUCCAGCAGGGUCCACAGAAAGAGGGUGGCCGAGUGCAGCCAGGACACAGGUCCCCCAGGUUGGGGUUCUGGCAAGCACACAACCCAGCUUCUCCCAGACAGGACAUUUCUCCAAGCCCCUUCCCCUUUCCGCCAAGAUGGAACAAUGAAAAGAAAGAGAACUGGAUUAGGAGCCAGGGGCCUGAGUCUCCAGACUCACUCUGAGACUAACUCCCACGUAAUCUUGGGUGAGUUCCCUCCCCUCUCUGGGCCUCCAUUUCCACAUCGAUCGGACCAGGGAGUUGGGCUCCAUUUCCAAGGUUCCCCUCUAGUUCCAAUGUUCUGAGAGCCAAGGACGAUGAGUUGCAGUCACCUCCAGCCCAGCUUUCCUCCAUCUCUCCAGAGGCCUCAGAGAUCCCAGAUGGAAGAGGAAUUUUUUUUUAAUUGAAGUAUAGUUGAUGUACAAUAUUAUAUGUUAUAGGUAUACAGUAUAGUGAUUCACAAUUUUUAAAGGUUAUACUCCAUUUAUAAUUAUUAUAAAAUAUUGGCUAUAUUCCCUGUGUUGUACAAUAUAUCCUUUGUAGCUUAUUUUAUACCUAACAGUUUGUAUCUCUUAAUCCCCCACCCCAUCUCGCCCCUCCCCGCUUCCCUCUCCCCGCUGGUAACCACUAGUUUGUUCUCUAUAUCUGUGAGUCUGCUUCUUUUUUGUUAUAUUCACUAGUUUGUUGUAUUUUUUUAGAUUUCACAUAUGAGUGAUAUCAUACAGUAUUGGUCUUUCCCUGUCUGACUUAUUUCACUUAGCAUAAUGCCCUCCAAGUCCAUCUAUGUUGCUGCAAAUGGAAAGAUUUCACUUCUUUUUACAGCUGAGUAGUAGUCCAUUGCAUAUAUAUACCACAACUGCUUUAUCCAUUCAUCUGUUGAUGGACACUUAGGUUGCUUCCAUUUCUUGGCAAUUGUAAAUAAAGCUGCUA